rnacentral:rRNA from 1 species
AUACGGAGGAUGCAAGCGUUAUCCGGAUUUAUUGGGUUUAAAGGGUGCGUAGGCGGAUGAUUAAGCGUGAGGUGAAAUGCCACUGCUCAACAGUGGAACUGCCUCGCGAACUGGUUGUCUUGAAUGCUCCUGCCGUGGGAGGAAUGAGUGGUGUAGCGGUGAAAUGCUUAGAUAUCACUCAGAACACCGAUUGCGAAGGCAUCUGACGAACUGCCCACUGACGCUGAGGCACGAAAGCGUGGGGAUCAAACAGGAUUAGAUACCCUGGUAGUCCACGCAGUAAACGAUGAUGGCUAACCGCUGGUUUUUUCGGAUCAGUGGCCAAGCGAAAGCGAUAAGCCAUCCACCUGGGGAGUACGACCGCAAGGUUGAAACUUAAAGGAAUUGACGGGG